ensembl:snRNA U6 U6 spliceosomal RNA
GUGCUUGCUUUGGCAGCACUAAUAUUUAAAUUGGAAUGACACAAAGAAGAUUAGCAUGGCUCUUGUUUGUAUAAGGAUGGCAUUCAAGUACAUUCUGUAUUU